ACGGAAGGCAGCAGUGGGGAAUAUUGGGCAAUGGGCGAAAGCCUGACCCAGCAACGCCGCGUGAAGGAAGAAGGUCUUCGGAUUGUAAACUUCUUUUAUCAGGGACGAAGAAAGUGACGGUACCUGAUGAAUAAGCCACGGCUAACUACGUGCCAGCAGCCGCGGUAAUACGUAGGUGGCGAGCGUUAUCCGGAUUUACUGGGUGUAAAGGGCGCGUAGGCGGGGAUGCAAGUCAGAUGUGAAAUCUAUGGGCUUAACCCAUAAACUGCAUUUGAAACUGUAUCUCUUGAGUGUCGGAGAGGUAGAUGGAAUUCCUAGUGUAGCGGUGAAAUGCGUAGAUAUUAGGAGGAACACCAGUGGCGAAGGCGACUUUCUGGACGAUUACUGACGUUGAGGCACGAAAGUGUGGGGAGCAAACAGGAUUAGAUACCCUGGUA
rnacentral:rRNA from 1 species